UGCAGUUCCUCAAUGGUUAGAGAGUUGGAUUCCCAAUCAGAAGGGUGCAGGUUUGAUUCCUACAACUGGGCAA